rnacentral:misc_RNA from 1 species
CAGCGUGACCUAACCUUAAAACACCCACUAGAUACCAGUUUCAUUUUACUGCGUGCACUGCAAUUUCUGACUGGAAGGAAGAAAUAACACAAUCAAUCGAGAUCCGGGGUGGUCCAUACAACAUGGCGUACGUGAUUAAGAAGACAAAAUCUGGCAUAGUGCUGCCAUACCUACCUGCUGAGGGACAACUCAAGGACGGACGCAAGGUCAUACUGGAGUACUACAAGGACGAAGACGAAGCACAGGUUCAUGCCAUUAUGAAGUAUAUCGUCAAUGAGGAGGGCGAUUGCUUUCCUUCGGAAGACCUAAGUAAUGUUGAGGACUUCCGAGCUUAUUAUCCGUUAUUUGACCUCUUUGUUUGUCGUGACGUCACUUCCGGUGAGGUAAUAGGAAGCUUAUACGUGAAGCCUACUUUCCCGGGACGAUCUUCACACAUUUGUAACGCUGGUUUUGCAGUUAAGAAAUCAUUUCGAGGAAAAGGUAUGGGGAGGUUCCUGGCUGGACACUAUCUUCAAAUUGCGCGUGAUCUUGGUUUCCAAGCAUCUUUGUUCCGUCUAGUGUUUGCGUCCAACGAAGCUUCUGUAAAUUUGUGGCGAAGCAUGGGUUUCAUAGAGACUGGGCGCAUCCCUAACGCGGGAUACCUCAGGGGGCGUGGCCUUACUGAUGCUUUACAGUUUUAUUAUGAUUUAACCAAAAUAGAAAAGAAAGUUUAAUCAAAUCACCUGAACGACA